GCUCCAGCCCAACCCUAGCGCAAACCCCCCAUCCCCAUCUCUUCCUCAGUUUGUCCCCUCUCUAUUCUUUCCACCGCCGCCGCCGCACCAUGGUGCUCAGCGCGCGCGCCUUCCCGCUUAUGCCGUGGGUGUGCCAGCAUGUGAAGCUGCGCAACAUCGACAGGGGGAGCUCGGUGAACUUCUCGCGUCGGCAUAGCGCGACCUCAUCCAUGGCGCCACCACCAUGGCUAUCGCUUCCACCUUCCCUGUCGUGGACCUAGGUGCUCCUCCUCCAACUCCCCUUCUCCAUUUCCUCCGCCUCUUCCCUCUCCCUUCAUCUUAUCCUCUUGACCUAGGUUCAUCACUGGCAUUGAGGUGUCCACGGGCCUCACCUGUGGAGGAGCUCCCAUGUCUGGAGGACCCAAGAGCGCAUCCUACGAGUGGAUCCGAUGGGAUCCUGAUGCGUCGACUACGGAUUUGGCUAGCCUCCACCACUUGAGCCCAGUGGCAGCGGAGAAGAUUGGGGAUGCUGCAUGUAUGUCUGUAUGGAAUCUGCACACUCUGAUCUUGCUGAUGCGGGUGAAAUAGUAAUCCAACUCCUAGGGUGAAAUGUAUAUUGUUAAGUCCAAGAUGUUGUGGAAAAAAGUCCAAGAUGCAUUCCUCAUGCGUGCCCCAGGAGGAACAUCACAGGACUAGAGGCACCAACAUCCGUGUCUCCAGGUGAUGUUGAUUAGACUUUGUUUUGAUUUGAUGAUUUUCCUGUUGCCAUUUAUAGUUUAAGGUUGGGUUGAUUAGAGGUGAUGACACCUCUGUUUUUCUUUUCCUAAAAAGCUGUAAAUGCAAAUUUUGGGCAUCCCUUCUGAUCAGUGCAAGAGGGAAAUAGAACAUGUAGUCUGGGUUGUUUAAUGAGUGGACUGCCUGCUGAACAAACUAAUUGUAGAAUUUGUUGUUGAAGGUCGUACUUUGCUAAUAAGAACCACAGAUGACAAUGCUGAUGGGUGUGUGGACAGUGUUGCUGUUACUGUAGGAGUGUAGUCGAAGAUAACUAAUCAACAAAAGGUAGGUCAAGGUGCUUUUGCCUCUAUCGGUUGCUGGAGUGAUGUUUUACAUGUAUAUGAAACCUCAUUUGUAACCGAAUUUUACUGCUCUUUUAGUUUGUCUGUGGCAUUAUAUACUAUACUCUAAUGGUAGCUGUAUAUUUUGAUGGACAUUCAGAGCUACCGACUGUAUAGUGUUUGGUAGUCAUGAAUUCUGAUUGUGAACUUUAAUUGAUGAAUAUGUAAUGUAUGGCCGGAUAACCAAAUAAUGGCUACGGCUCUGAUACAUAUAGUGAAAGAUCAUGUAAUAUAUGGUUGAACAAAACCAUAAUGGUUGCCAUGACGAUACAACUCGUGUUGUUUGUGAAUGUCUCAUGGUUUGUGCUACGUAUCAGGUGAUAUGAUAUCUUU